GAAAAGGAAGGCGGAAAUGCGAGACCUAAUGCUAUGAUGAGAUAUUUUCUUAAUUGUUUAGGGGAGUGCAUCCACGAGGAAAUGGGAUGUAUUGAUGAGCCUUUCACCUGGAGGAGAGGUGAAACUAGGGAGAGACUCGACCGAGUGGUUUGCAAUGUGGAAUGGGAAAAUAAAUUCCCUCGGGCUGCGAUCAUAAAUGAGGAACAUGUUCACUCUGAUUAUCGUCCCCUUGUCCUGGAUACCGAAUAUUUUGAUGGCAAUAUUUUUAAUCACCCAAUGAGGUGA
rnacentral:rRNA from 1 species